UACGAAGGGGGCUAGCGUUGUUCGGAUUUACUGGGCGUAAAGCGCACGUAGGCGGAUCGAUCAGUCAGGGGGUGAAAUCCCAGAGCUCAACUCUGGAACUGCCUUUGAUACUGUCGAUCUGGAGUAUGGAAGAGGUGAGUGGAAUUCCGAGUGUAGAGGUGAAAUUCGUAGAUAUUCGGAGGAACACCAGUGGCGAAGGCGGCUCACUGGUCCAUUACUGACGCUGGAGGUGCGAAAGCGUGGGGAGCAAACAGG
rnacentral:rRNA from 1 species